AUGAAAUUGAGUCUGAUAGUUGUUACUAUUUAAUAUGAUCAACAACUUCUGGCCAUACAUCCAACAAGUAAAUCAGGAACUUAAAUUCCUACAAAGAAGUAAUAUUCACUAGCAGUAUGACUGAAUUUUGGAAGAUAGUGUGCAGUGCCAGCUUUUAUCCUAGAAAGACUACCUCCAAAGGAACUUCACAGAGUGGCAUUUUUGGUGAAUUACCAUUGAUCAGAGUCCAUUUUUCAACCUCAAAGAUGUAGAAAAAAGAUCCGUAGAUCAAGCAGACCCUUAGAAACAGAGUAGGAAUAAUAAAAUUGGCCCAAAACUGAGGUGUAAACUAAAAUGCUUGUUUGCUUACCAAAGGGACUAUGUCUUUGUAGUGAUUGAAG
rnacentral:lncRNA from 10 species